rnacentral:rRNA from 1 species
GAGGCAGAAAUGCGUAGUCGAUGGGAAACAGGUUAAUAUUCCUGUACUUGAUUCAAAUGCGAUGUGGGGACGGAGAAGGUUAGGUUGGCAAGCUGUUGGAAUAGCUUGUUUAAGCCGGUAGGUGGAAGACUUAGGCAAAUCCGGGUCUUCUUAACACCGAGAAGUGACGACGAGUGUCUACGGACACGAAGCAACCGAUACCACGCUUCCAGGAAAAGCCACUAAGCUUCAGUUUGAAUCGAACCGUACCGCAAACCGACACAGGUGGGCAGGAUGAGAAUUCUAAGGCGCUUGAGAGAACUCAGGAGAAGGAACUCGGCAAAUUGAUACCGUAACUUCGGGAGAAGGUAUGCCCUCUAAGGUUAAGGACUUGCUCCGUAAGCCCAGGAGGGUCGCAGAGAAUAGGUGGCUGCGACUGUUUAUUAAAAACACAGCACUCUGCUAACACGAAAGUGGACGUAUAGGGUGUGACGCCUGCCCGGUGCUGGAAGGUUAAUUGAAGAUGUGAGAGCAUCGGAUCGAAGCCCCAGUAAACGGCGGCCGUAACUAUAACGGUCCUAAGGUAGCGAAAUUCCUUGUCGGGUAAGUUCCGACCCGCACGAAUGGCGUAACGAUGGCCACACUGUCUCCUCCUGAGACUCAGCGAAGUUGAAGUGGUUGUGAAGAUGCAAUCUACCCGCUGCUAGACGGAAAGACCCCGUGAACCUUUACUGUAGCUUUGCAUUGGACUUUGAAGUCACUUGUGUAGGAUAGGUGGGAGGCUUAGAAGCAGAGACGCCAGUCUCUGUGGAGCCGUCCUUGAAAUACCACCCUGGUGUCUUUGAGGUUCUAACCCAGACCCGUCAUCCGGGUCGGGGACCGUGCAUGGUAGGCAGUUUGACUGGGGCGGUCUCCUCCCAAAGCGUAACGGAGGAGUUCGAAGGUUACCUAAGUCCGGUCGGAAAUCGGACUGAUAGUGCAAUGGCAAAAGGUAGCUUAACUGCGAGACCGACAAGUCGAGCAGGUGCGAAAGCAGGACAUAGUGAUCCGGUGGUUCUGUAUGGAAGGGCCAUCGCUCAACGGAUAAAAGGUACUCCGGGGAUAACAGGCUGAUUCCGCCCAAGAGUUCAUAUCGACGGCGGAGUUUGGCACCUCGAUGUCGGCUCAUCACAUCCUGGGGCUGUAGUCGGUCCCAAGGGUAUGGCUGUUCGCCAUUUAAAGUGGUACGUGAGCUGGGUUUAAAACGUCGUGAGACAGUUUGGUCCCUAUCUGCAGUGGGCGUUGGAAGUUUGACGGGGGCUGCUCCUAGUACGAGAGGACCGGAGUGGACGAACCUCUGGUGUACCGGUUGUAACGCCAGUUGCAUAGCCGGGUAGCUAAGUUCGGAAGAGAUAAGCGCUGAAAGCAUCUAAGCGCGAAACUCGCCUGAAGAUGAGACUUCCCUUGCGGUUUAACCGCACUAAAGAGUCGUUCGAGACCAGGACGUUGAUAGGUGGGGUGUGGAAGCGCGGUAACGCGUGAAGCUAACCCAUACUAAUUGCUCGUGAGGCUUGACUCU